rnacentral:lncRNA from 1 species
UGGCGGUCUUCUUGACUUCUUGUCAGCCCGUUUUAUCUUGCUAGACAUAGGUCUACCAUGGAAGAUGAGUGUCAAACCUGCUCCAGCUUUACACUUGAAGAUGGAAGAUGCAUGCUAUUUAUCAUCGAUGCAGUGUAAAGUGUAGCUGACAUGACUAGUCCACCAACCAUCCCUUAGUUAUUAUACAGAGCUCAAGUUUAAGGGGCAACAUUGUCAAUAGGCCUAAGGAGAGCGUAAGUAUAUUAUCAAACCCCCCAAGAAAUGCACAUGCUUUAAUUGGGAUAAACUUACUCAAAACUCAGGUGCCUAACUGUCUAACUAUAUCAACACAUUUCCUACACCACGUCCACAUAGGAAGUCUAUUACUGAAUACCAGAAACACGUCGCCUCAUCAACCUUGUAGCAGAAAC